UACCAGCACCCCGAGUGGUCGGGACGUUUAUUGGGCCUAAAGCAUCCGUAGCCGGUUCUGCAAGUCUUCCGUUAAAUCCACCUGCUUAACAGAUGGGCCGCGGAAGAUACUAUAGAGCUAGGAGGCGGGAGAGGCAAGCGGUACUCGAUGGGUAGGGGUAAAAUCCGUUGAUCCAUUGAAGACCACCAGUGGCGAAGGCGGCUUGCCAGAACGCGCUCGACGGUGAGGGAUGAAAGCUGGGGGAGCAAACCGG
rnacentral:rRNA from 1 species